GGUGUGAGCUGACGAGAGCUUCAGGUGGGAGCCUCUCCCGGCAGUGAAUCUGAGGGUUGGGAGGGAUUUCCGGACCCAGAGGGAAGAUAUUUUGGGGCCGAGGGCCUUUCCAGAACCCAUGAAAUCACACACCCUGCUGCGACCAGACUGACCCUCCCUAGUUGAUGGUUCUUUUUUGGACAUCCUAGGCCUGCUUGGGAUUCUGGCCCCAUGAUUUAGGGUUUCUUUGGAGCCCAUCUGAGCCUGGGGGGCCCUGUGGUGGUGGAAGAGGUCCAGCCUGCGGUGGUGAAAGAGGAGCCAGCGCCGGCAGCCACCAUGGCGUCACGCAUAGGGUUGCGCAUGCAGCUCAUGCGGGAGCAGGCGCAGCAGGAGGAGCAGCGGGAGCGCAUGCAGCAACAGGCUGUCAUGCAUUACAUGCAGCAGCAGCAGCAGCAGCAACAGCAGCAGCUCGGAGGGCCGCCCACCCCGGCCAUCAAUACCCCCGUCCACUUCCAGUCGCCACCACCUGUGCCUGGGGAGGUGUUGAAGGUAGGGCCUGUUCUGGCCUGCCC
rnacentral:lncRNA from 1 species